GACGAACCGUGCGAACGUUAUUCGGAAUCACUGGGCUUAAAGCGCGUGUAGGCGGGAGGGCACGUCCGUCGCUGAAAUCCCCCGGCUCAACCGGGGAACGGGCGCGGAUACGGCCUUCCUCGAGGGGCGUAGGGGGACCUGGAACUUCCGGUGGAGCGGUGAAAUGCGUAGAUAUCAGGAGGAACACCUGCGGUGUAGACGGCUUACUGGACCGUAACUGACGCUGAGGCACGAAAGCGUGGGUAGCAAACAGG
rnacentral:rRNA from 1 species